rnacentral:rRNA from 1 species
UACGUAGGUGGCAAGCGUUACUCGGAAUCACUAGGCGUAAAGCGCAGGUAGGCGGUUCGGUAAGUCUCUUGUGAAAGCUCCUGGCUCAACUGGGAGAGGUCAAGGGAAACUACCGGGCUAGAGUGUGGUAGGGGAUACUGGAAUUCCCGGUGUAGCGGUGAAAUGCGUAGAUAUCGGGAGGAAUACCUAUGGCGAAAGCAGGUGUCUGGGCCAUCACUGACGCUGAGCUGCGAAGGCUAGGGGAGCAAACAGG